GUCCCUGUGGCGCAUUGGAUAGCGCGUUGGACUUCUAAUCCAAAGGUCAUGGGUUUGAAUCCCAUUUGGGGUG
rnacentral:tRNA from 1 species